GUGGAUUAGAUACCCUAGUAGUCCUGGCCCUAAACGGUGCACGUUUGCUGUAAGAGGAAUCGACCCCUUUUGUGGCGAAGCUAACGCGUUAAACGUGCCGCCUGGGAAGUACGGCCGCAAGGUUAAAACUCAAAGAAAUUGACGGGGGCCUGCACAAGCGGUGGAGUAUGUGGCUUAAUUCGAUGCAACGCGAAGAACCUUACCUGGCCUUGACAUGCACAUAGUAGAAGCCUGAAAGGGUGACGAGGUAGCAAUACCAGUGUGCACAGGUGCUGCACGGCCGUCGCCAACU
rnacentral:rRNA from 1 species